ACCCUGCCCCGACACGCUUCCCCAACCCUCCCGCAACCUCUCCUUCCCCGAGCGCCUCAUUCCCGCCGCCGCCCUCGGAACCCGCCGCCGCACACGCCCUCCGCGGAACCCGCCGCCGCGCGCGCCCUCGCCGGAACCCCCGCUGCCACGAGCCCCUGCCGCCGUGCGCCCUCCCCGGACGCCUCGCCGCAGCCCGCCCUCCCCGGACCCCCGCGCCGCCGUGCCACCACCGGGAUCCAAUCGCCAACGAGAUCCUCUCUGCGACCCCCCGCCCAGUUGUGUUCAUUGCCAGAUGCCUCGCUGCCGCCAAACGCCCUCUUCCUUCCGGCAGCCACGCACCGUCCGAGCGCCGCCGUGCCUUCUCGCACCAGUCUCCUCCCGCCAUGCCCCUGCAGGAAGCUGGUGCCGCUGCAAGAAGUUCAAAUGUCAUAGCAGCGGCCGGACGGAUUUGAUACACGGUGCUCCCUCCCAUAAAGUGGUUGUGCUAGACGAGGAAUCAAACUCGCCUCCGCUUCUAGCAACCCCACCACUGUUGGAGAGGAGAGGAGGAAUGCAAGCAUGAUUGGGCUGGGAUACCUGAGCCAAGGGGAGGAUGCAUGGCAUGGCAGCUGCUGGAAUGGCAGGAGUUGGUUGAUCUUCGGGACUUGGAACGGAGGUUGACCAUCAUCGAUCGGUGGUGGAUCGCGCCGGCCGGCCGGCAUGCAUGCAUUUUCUUCUUCUUCUUCAAAUUCAGAUUCAGAGGUCGAGGAAGCCGGUCUGGUGGAGCACGGCGUUGCGGACGCAGCAGAGGUCACGGCCCUUGAGCGUCCGCCCGGCGCCCUCCAGCACCGACGACGACCGCGCGUGCCGCCGCGCCACCACCACGUGCGGCGGCACCAUCUCCUCCCCGCGUCGGACUCCUCUGCCUCCCUGGCGCCGCACUUCACGUUCUCACCGGCCGCCUGCCCCGGCCAUACCGGCGUCGACUGCCUCGGUGUCGCGGCACCGUGACCCGGCCUCGGAGGCACGGCCAGGGCUCCAUGUCGUCCCCGCCCUCGACGAGGAGCAACGACAGCCCGAAGCUCUACGGCACGGCGUGCGUCGAGCGACGCCGCGUGCUGGCACUGGCGCUGGCGCGUCGCGGGGUCACCACCGCCUCGGCCACCGGCGCGGCCGUCCACCCGUCCACGUCCCCGCCGCCGCUGCAGGAAGCUGGUGCCGCUGCAAGAAGUUCAAAUGUCAUAGCAGCGGCCGGACGGAUUUGACGCACGGUGCUCCCUCCCACAAAGUGGUUGUUGCUAGACGAGGAAUCAAACUCGCCUCCGCUGCUCCAUUUGGAUGGCAUGCCACACCCUUUUUUUUGGAGACUUCAUUCUAAUUUUCUUUAGGGGAAAUUGCUGUGUUGUGUUGCUAUCUCUGAAUCUCAGUGGUUUUUGCAUCGCCUACUGCUCCCGGCGAGCUUGUCCGUCGUUGUCGUCAGACUUUCUUGCGCAUCACAAGAGAUGUAAGCAUGGUUUGUUUGUUCCGUUUGUACAACUGAACUUGUUGUAAUUUUGUUAGCCGAAAAACCUGCUAUAGUUUUUUCAAUCUAAUCAAUGAAUUACUAGUACUAGUUGAU